rnacentral:rRNA from 1 species
UGGGGAAUUUUGGACAAUGGGGGAAACCCUGAUCCAGCCAUCCCGCGUGUGCGAUGAAGGCCUUCGGGUUGUAAAGCACUUUUGGCAGGAAAGAAACGUCAUGGGUUAAUACCCCGUGAAACUGACGGUACCUGCAGAAUAAGCACCGGCUAACUACGUGCCAGCAGCCGCGGUAAUACGUUGGGUGCAAGCGUUAAUCGGAAUUACUGGGCGUAAAGCGUGCGCAGGCGGUUCGGAAAGAAAGAUGUGAAAUCCCAGAGCUCAACUUUGGAACUGCAUUUUUAACUACCGGGCUAGAGUGUGUCAGAGGGAGGUGGAAUUCCGCGUGUAGCAGUGAAAUGCGUAGAUAUGCGGAGGAACACCGAUGGCGAAGGCGGCCUCCUGGGAUAACACUGACGCUCAUGCAAGAAAGCGUGGGGAGCAAACAGG